UAAGAAAUUAAUAAUCUUCGGUCUAAGAAAUAUUAGCCGACUGUCUAAGAAAUAUCCAUCCAACAAAUAUUAGAAGCAUCUACUGGAUCUCACUAAUCAGGUAUCACCCAUGGAUGAAUCUAGCAAUCGAUUUAUAAGAAUGUUAGAGUCUACAUCUUCAUCUGUGAAUACAGGAUCGAGUGAUAGAAAAUAAAAUGAUGGAGUGGAAAAAUUAGUUUUUCCAUACUUCGAUGGAACUGAUCCUGAAGAUUGGAUCUAUAAAGCUGAAUUGUGUUUCAAAUUUUAUGAAACACCACCAUUACAACAAGUUAAAACCGAAGGUUUUCAUCUCGAUGGUAAGGCUUUACAGUGGUACAAAUGGAUGAAAUCAGUGGAGCCAAUAUAGUCUUGGGUAUGGUUUUCAACUUCUUUGCUUAAACGAUUUGGAAAAAAUCAUUAUGAUGAACCAGCUGCACCACUUAUAAAAUUGAGUCAAGAGGGUUCUCUAGAUGAUUUCGAAGAAGAAUUUGUAGAAGCAACAAAGAUUGUAAAGGAAAUUGUCAGCGAAGAAUUUGUAGCAAUCCCAAUUAACUCAGAAGUGGUAACAGAUUUCAUCCUAGAUUCUUCAAUUUCAUCGGGACAAAACCAUGAUAAAUCUCGUGAUGGUUAUUUGUUGGAUGGAUAUUAUAAAGAACUUGUUCAAGAGUUGAUUUACAGACAUGGGUACUGGUCAGAUUUAUGGUGUAAUGGUGUUUCUAGUAUUGCUUAGCAAAUGUUUGGUAAAAUGCUUCAUAGGGUUAUUGAAAACUGGAUAGUAGUGAUGAAACAAUUGCCGCAAAUGUAUGAGGCCAAGAAUUAUUACUAUCCUUGUCUCGACUGCACUCGCAGGAUUUUUGAUCGUGGGAAAGAAUUUGAACUCAUUGAUGGGUACUCUUACUAUGCUAGUGAUUAUACUUUCUGUUGGGAAUUACUUACUUCUUAUUUGUUUAUACUGAUGGUCUGUUCUAUAUCAAUGGCUAACCACCAUGUUGAAACUGUUCGUAAGCUUAUUUUAAAACAUGGGUACCCGAUAGACUUUUUGUUAUUGUAUCUAAUUGCAUUUGUGCUGGGAAAAAAGGGUGAUUAUGGUGAUCACAAUAAACCAUUUAUUAAAAGGUCGGUAAGAAAGAAAUUCUUGAUAUUCUUGUUGACAAGAGUGGUUGAUAUUGAGCAAGCUUAUCAAAGGCUGGACACAGUAGUUCACUGGGGUAUUGUGUUCUGGAAUACAGUGGUCACUCAAGUUCUAAAAAAGUAUGGGGUGGGGAAAGCACAAGAAUGAUUUCUCUAUCAUGGGGUCUGUAAAGUGCAACUUCGAGCUUCUUCUUAUCAUGUGCUGCUGCUCUUGGAUGUUGUUUAUUUUGACCAAAUUCUUAAAGAAGCUUGCAUACCUAACAAGGUAAAUGACCUAAAACAAAUUAGUUAUGAAUGUGCCGUUUCUCCCGAUUCUGCUUAUUGUCGAAUGUUGUUUGAUCGAGGUAAAAUUGGUGAAACCAUGUUGUGGAAUUCUCAUUCUACGAUAUUAGAUGCUACAUAUGCGAUUUUAUCCAUGAGGGAAUUAUUCAGGGUUGUAGUUGAUAGACAAGAAGGGAAUGAGACAGUUUUAAUGGCAAAUUUGUAUUCUACGAUGGAUAGCAAGCUAGUUGGGAGAGCUCUGUGCGUGAAAGAUUACAUUACAAGAGUGCAAAUAAAUGAUUGGUUUACUGAGGAUGAAGGAUUUUUUCUAUAUUGGGCCAUUGCAGGUCAAAGAAAAGACGAGUACGAUAUUUCCGAACUAUAAUCUAAAUGGUAAUCACACCUUGGUUAAUGCUUGUCGAUGCUUGCCAUGUUUCGCUAGGUUUCAUAUUCGACACAAAUGGCGCUCUGAGAAAGUGUUUUUCUGUGAGAGGGUAGCUCGUGUUGACAAGAUUCUGAAGGUGAGAAUCUGGUUAUUCUAUAGUCUACAACUAUACAAACGGAUCCUUGUAGUUUGCCAGCAACACAAUCUCUAUUUUGCUACUGAAUCAUGGAAGAAUAGGAUUUUUUCAAGUAGUUAGUACCAGGCCUACUAAUUGUCGCUAAAGAUCUUCGUAUUCAGCUCAAGAUGCUUAUGGACUUUAAACCUUGAGGACAAGGUUGCUCUGAAGGGGACAGGAAUGAUAAGACUUGGCCACAAACGUGACCAAGGAUGGCUUAUUAGAGUUAGCGCGGCAUUACAGGUCCAUCUGCGUGGCUCAAGUGUUUGGUUAUUUGUUUUUAUUUAUUGUCCUAGUCAUGUAAAAGUUUUUCCUGGAGUGUCUUGUAAACAAUUAUAUACCCAGAUAGGGUAUUGGUCUUGGAAUAUCGAAUAGUUGAAUCAAGGUUUAUCCUUCAUUUCUUGGUCUGUCUUCCCCUUCCGGUAGAACCCUGGCUAGGUUCUUAUCAGUUUCAUAAUAGAUGUAUAAUGGCUAGUGUAUGAAUUUGAUAUUAUAAUCAAGAUUGUUUAACCCCCUCAA